GAUGAACGCUAGCUACAGGCUUAACACAUGCAAGUCGAGGGGAAACGACAUCGAAAGCUUGCUUUUGAUGGGCGUCGACCGGCGCACGGGUGAGUAACGCGUAUCCAACCUGCCCACCACUUGGGGAUAACCUUGCGAAAGUAAGACUAAUACCCAAUGAUAUCUCUAGAAGACAUCUGAAAGAGAUUAAAGAUUUAUCGGUGAUGGAUGGGGAUGCGUCUGAUUAGCUUGUUGGCGGGGUAACGGCCCACCAAGGCAACGAUCAGUAGGGGUUCUGAGAGGAAGGGCACCGACAUUGGAACUGAGACACGGUCCAAACUCGUACGGGAGGCAGCAGUGAGGAAUAGUGAUCAAUGGACGAGAGUCUGAACCAGCCAAGUAGCGUGCAGGAAGACGGCCCUAUGGGUUGUAAACUGCUUUUAUAAGGGAAUAAAGUGAGUCUCGUGAGACUUUUUGCAUGUACCUGAUGAAUAAGGACCGGCUAAUUCCGUG
rnacentral:rRNA from 1 species